UCUGGAGCUGAGAUUCAUCUCGACUGACGUCUGUGAGGUUCUUCAGACUAUAUAUAAUCGGAGUACUCUUUAACUGGAGGGCUUUGUUAUUAUUCUAAUAAUGUGGAGAGUAUCAUUAAUCCUACAUUGGUUAUGAGUCAAGGGAGACUCGUAUUUAUAAGAAGAAAAAAAUUCUUCCCAUGUGAAAUGCUUUUUAAAGGACAAACCUGUGAGGCCCAU
rnacentral:lncRNA from 1 species